AUUGAACGCUGGCGGCAGGCUUAACACAUGCAAGUCGAACGAGUGGCGGACGGGUGAGUAAUGUCUGGGAAACUGCCUGAUGGAGGGGGAUAACCACUGGAAACGGUAGCUAAUACCGCAUACCAUCAGAUGUGCCCAGAUGGGAUUAGCUGGUGGGUGGGGUAAUGGCUCACCAAGGCGACGAUCCCUAGCUGGUCUGAGCGGAUGACCAGCCACACUGGAACUGAGACACGGUCCAGACUCCUACGGGAGGCAGCAGGGGGGAAUAUUGCACAAUGGGCGCAAGCCUGAUGCAGCCAUGCCGCGUGUGUGAAGAAGGCCUUCGGGUUGUAAAGCACUUUCAGCGGGGAGGCGUUACUCGCAGAAGAAGCACCGGCUAACUCCGUGCCAGCAGCCGCGGUAAUUC
rnacentral:rRNA from 1 species